GUGCGGAGCAGCGCGAGCGGGGUGCGACGGAGAGGACACAAGCAAAGCGCGGGCGAGCGCGUGGCGGCGUGUGCGGAGUGGAGCACCGAGUCGAGGGGCCGCGCCGGCGGCAUGCGGCGCGGAGCCGCGGCAACGGUAGAAACUCCACGAUGCAGCGCUGCCAGCCACUCCACCUCCCGAGCCCCCAGACCCCAGCGCGGCGGCUGCGGCUGCGGUAAGAUGGCGGUGGGGAAGAACAAGCGGAUCAGCAAGGGGAAAAAGUGCGGCAAGAAGAAGACGUAAGUUCGCUCCCCCACUGCGUUCCGAUCUCAGCAUCAGAUCCGUCACCGGCUCAUUUCGUUGUUCAUUUGGCUCAGUGUUGAUGCGGUGGUAAUUAUUGUUUUUUUUAGAAGAAGGUAACCGAUGGCGCAACCUGAAGCCAGGUGUUGAGUGUGACGGCAUGGCCAAACUAACCAUGUGCUCUGCUCAUGUUCCUGCAGAAAUUACACCGCGCAGCCUGCUCCCAAUUUGAGCUCGUGCGCCCCCUUUCGAUUGGGGAUUUGCUCGAACUGUAUCGAUGACCUACUGGAGGAAUGACCAUAUCGCUUUGUUCUCCAAUUAGUAGUUAGUUCACUUCGAGGACUGCCAGGGGAUCAGCAUGAGGGGCAUCACGUUGUAGAACAGCCAGCAGCAGCACCUGACGUUUACCCAGAGCUCCAACAUCGAGGCCAAUUACCUAAUGAUAUAGUCUUCUUCCAAAGGUGGCAAUUCUUGUGAGGCCAAAUGUCAGUAAAUCUGCGUUGUUCAACCAUCUUGUUGGGGGAAACAGGGCUAUCAUUGUUGAUGAACCUGGUGUGACAAGAGAUCGGUUAUAUAUAUGGACGAUCUUAUUGGGGUGAUUAGGAGAUUAUGGUUAUCGAUACUGGUGGGUUAAUUGCUUUAUCAAAGUCUCAAGUAGGUUUGAUAGAAGAACUUCUGUCACCACUACUACUGUGCGAAAACAUGGUGCUGAGGAUAAAGCCAAGCUGGGCAUGAAGACUUUGCUCAACAGAGGGUGCACAUGCUUUAGUUGCUUGCUUGCUUACCAGUGCUGUAGUUGGACGCAAGUUGCACGGUAGAGUUGAUGCUUGUUCGAGAGUUGGGGGUGAAAAUUGCCUUUGUACAUAUUUUAAUUUUCUUGAGUUCUUUCAUAAUUUUGCUUGAUUGGUCUCAAAAAGUUGCUUCAUGUAACAAUUGAGUUGAAUGGUAGUAUUAGUCAAGUAGAAAUAAUGUAACGUGAGCAGAUUAGAAGGGGUGAUGGUUGUUGUAAUUUUAGUAGAAAAUUGCUCGUGAUACUACUUUUUGAUGUACUGAUUGGAGUCACUUCUAAAUAUGGAAAGAAGAUAUUUUUACUCUA